UACGAAGGGGACUAGCGUUGUUCGGAAUCACUGGGCGUAAAGCGCACGUAGGCGGAUAUGUCAGUCAGGGGUGAAAUCCCGGGGCUCAACCUCGGAACUGCCUUUGAUACAGCAUAUCUUGAGUCCGAUAGAGGUGGGUGGAAUUCCUAGUGUAGAGGUGAAAUUCGUAGAUAUUGGGAAGAACACCGGUGGCGAAGGCGGCCCACUGGAUCGGUACUGACGCUGAGGUGCGAAAGCGUGGGGAGCAAACAGG
rnacentral:rRNA from 1 species